rnacentral:rRNA from 1 species
CCUCGGGAGGCAGCAGUGGGGAAUCUUGGACAAUGGGGGCAACCCUGAUCCAGCCAUGCCGCGUGAGUGACGAAGGCCUUAGGGUUGUAAAGCUCUUUCGCUAGGGAAGAUAAUGACGGUACCUAGUAAAGAAGCCCCGGCUAACUCCGUGCCAGCAGCCGCGGUAAUACGGAGGGGGCUAGCGUUGUUCGGAAUCACUGGGCGUAAAGCGCGCGUAGGCGGACUGAUCAGUUGGGGGUGAAAGCCCGGAGCUCAACUCCGGAACUGCCUCCAAUACUGUCAGUCUUGAGAUCGAGAGAGGUAAGCGGAAUUCCGAGUGUAGAGGUGAAAUUCGUAGAUAUUCGGAAGAACACCAGUGGCGAAGGCGGCUUACUGGCUCGAUACUGACGCUGAGGUGCGAAAGCGUGGGGAGCAAACAGGAUUAGAUACUCUGGUAGUCCACGCCGUAAACGAUGAAUGCUAGCUGUCGGGCAGUUUACUGUUCGGUGGCGCAGCUAACGCAUUAAGCAUUCCGCCUGGGGAGUACGGUCGCAAGACUAAAACUCAAAGGAAUUGACGG